GCCUUCUUAGCUCAGUGGUAGAGCGCGUGGCUUUUAACCACGUGCUUGUGUUGUGUAACGUAAUGUUAAGGCGCUCGAAAGCAUAUAGGGUU
rnacentral:tRNA from 1 species